rnacentral:lncRNA from 1 species
AAUAGAAAUUUCUAUCUUAGGCUUCAGUCGCAUGGUACUACUCAUUCAAUUAUGUGAGCUUUUGCUGUGUCAGACUAGAAUCUGAGUCCUGAAACCAGUGAGAAAACUUAAAACCUAUAGUAGUUUUCCUAGUUACUUAGGAGGUUUGGAAUAAUGGGUUGCCAUAAAGAACCCUUUAGUUUAUUGGUAACUGAGACAGUACAGGACUAACCAACAGAUUAUGACGUGUUCAGGGCACCAGCAAUGCAAGGGCACCUUUUCUUCUAAAAAUAACCAAGUUAAUUUUGACAUUUUUGUCCAGAACUUCACAUUCAAAAAUGUAAAAAAGAAUUCUUAAUUUUUUAAAUUUAUUUUUUAUCUUUAAAAAAAUUUUUAUUGAAGUAUAGUUGACACACACUGUUACAUUAGUUUCAGGUGUACAACACAGUGAUUUGACAAGUUUAUACAUUAUGCUGUGCUCACCAGAAAAGAAUUUGUAAUUUUGGCAUGCAUGGAAGUUUUGUGCCAUAAUGAAAUUUUGAAUUACCAGUGGAGUGGGAUGGGAGGACUCCAUAAUCUUUUCAAUGUUUAGAAUCUCCAAAGGGCACUAACUGUAAGAAGUCACACACUGUAUGUACAAAGUCAAAUAAAAAUUCUCUAACACCUCAUAUGUAAAUCAGAUAAUCUAAUUUUUGCAGGUGAAAUUGAGAUAAUGUUUUAGCAGCUGGCCAUAUGGCAACUUUACCUACCAAAGAAAUAUCUAUUGGAAUGAAGUCUAAAUGUGCCUCCAAGUUUGCUAUCUUGCUUCAUAUACCCAACCAUUUAUUCAACAGAUGCUUUCCAGAUACCAGGCACUGUGAUUCAAAUAUAAAAGUACUCAGUCCUCGAGCUCAAGGAGUUUUCAUUCUUGUGGGAGAGACAAAUAUUCAAAACAACAGUUAUAAUGUAUAACUGUAUAGUUAUGUAUGUAUGGUUAUGUAUGUAUGUAUGUAUGUAUGUAUGUAUGUAUAGUAAGAUACAUGCCAUUAUGAAGGUGUUAUGGAAACUAAUGCAUAGAAGCCCCUAUUUCUUACUGGUAUAGUAUAAUAAUAAUGUGCCAGGCAUUCAGAGUUUCAGAUUAGCUAAAGUCUAACUCUAAGUUGCCUGGAUUUAAGUCCCAUCCCUUCUCCUUUGUAAUUGUGUGGCCACAGACAAGUUAGGUAACUAGUGUGUGACUUGAUUUCAUCAUUUGUGAAGUGCAGAUAAUAAUUAUUGCUUCUUGCAUAAGGCUGAUACCAAG